GCUGGGUGUGGUGGCGCUCACCUGUAAUCCCAGCUACUUGGGAGGCUGAGGCAGGAGAAUUGCUUGAACCCGGGAGGUGGAGCUUGCAGUGAGCUGAGAUCGCAGGACUGCACUCCACCCUGGGUGACAGAGCGAGACUCCAUCUCAA
rfam:Pongo abelii chromosome 16.